rnacentral:rRNA from 1 species
UGGGGAAUAUUGGGCAAUGGGCGAAAGCCUGACCCAGCGACGCCGCGUGAGGGAAGACGGUCUUCGGAUUGUAAACCUUUGUCAACAGGAACGAAACAAAUGACGGUACCUGUGGAGGAAGCCACGGCUAACUACGUGCCAGCAGCCGCGGUAAUACGUAGGUGGCGAGCGUUAUCCGGAUUUACUGGGUGUAAAGGGUGUGUAGGCGGAAAGGCAAGUCAGAUGUGAAAAUGAUGGGCUCAACCCAUGACCUGCAUUUGAAACUGUCUUCCUUGAGAGUGGGAGAGGUAAAUAGAAUUCCUGGUGUAGCGGUGAAAUGCGUAGAUAUCAGGAGGAAUACCAGUGGCGAAGGCGAUUUACUGGCCCACAACUGACGCUGAGACACGAAAGCGUGGGGAGCAAACAGGAUUAGAUACCCUGGUAGU